UACGGAGGGUGCGAGCGUUGUCCGGAUUUAUUGGGUUUAAAGGGUGCGUAGGCGGGCUUGUAAGUCAGUGGUGAAAUCCCGCAGCUUAACUGUGGAUGUGCCAUUGAUACUGCAGGUCUUGAGUACCGUUGGGGUAGGCGGAAUUUAUGGUGUAGCGGUGAAAUGCAUAGAUACCAUAAAGAACACCGAUAGCGUAGGCAGCUUACUGAACGGAGACUGACGCUGAGGCACGAAAGCAUGGGUAGCGAACGGG
rnacentral:rRNA from 1 species